CAGGUUUAUUUGAAAUCACAAGCUUUUGGAGCAUUGCUCCUUCAUCAGGUGAAGUGAGAGAGGAGCAGACAGAACACAGAAUUUAUGGGCAAAGAGAUCAAGUGCAGAGAGAUCAAAAGACCAUACAAAUGGUGUGAGUGGAGUGCUGAAUAAUAAGUCCCUGCAGGUGAUUCAAAGUAUUAGAUGGUGAGAGUAAAGUAUCAACAGCUUAAAAACAAGCAAAGGGAUGACCUAUAACCUGAUAAGAUGAGGCAGAGAGAUAAUUACAAAAGAUUAAAAAUAAGGUGGUGCUGGAGACAAACUAAAUGACUGGAAUAACAUGAUAGAUAUAAGAGUCACAUGCCUUGGGUCUAUGCCAUGUUCUUUGCAGCCUUCAAAAUGUCAACGAUGACAACAAGCAUCUCACCAAGAUCAUCCCUACAUGUUUACUUUUCACCUUCAAACAACCGCCAAACCUUAAACAGACCAUUGCUCGCAGCAAUUACCCAGCCUCCAGGAGAACAUUGACCACAACACCACACAACCUUGCCACGCAACCUCUGCAAGACAUGUCCAAUCAUCGACAUGGACACUACCAUCACACGUAGGAACACCACCCUCCACGUACACAGCAGAUACUUAGGUGACUCAUCCAAUAUUGUCUAUCUCAUGUGCUGCAGGCAAGGAUGCCCUGAAACAUGGUAUAUUGGUGAGACCAUGCAGAUGCUACGAAAACAGGCGAAUGGACACCGCGCAACAAUCACCAGACAGAAAUGUUCGCUCCCAGUCAGAGAACACUUCAGCAGAACAUUCAGCCUCCAAUCUUUGGUUAAGUGUCCUCCAAGGUGGCCUUUGAGAUACACAACAAUGCAGAAUGGUCGAACAGAAACUGAUAACCAAGUUCCGUACUCAUGAAGACAGUGUCAACCAUGAUCUUGGAUUCAUAUCAUGCCACAUGUGACCCCACCCACUGUUCUGAUUCUCUAAAAUCUUCCUUACUGUCCUGUUUUGUCACUAUCACCUGGAUAAUUUUUUAUGAUCUCUUUACCUUAAUUAGUUUGUACAGUUUUGGAUUACUUAUUACUUUGGUUAGACCCUCAGCAUGCGACUCUUAUACCUACUAUGUUAUUCCAGUCAUUUGGUUUGCCUCCAGCACCACCUCAUAUUUAAUUUUUGCAAUUAUCUCUCUGCCUCAUUUAAUCAGGUUAUAGGUCAUCCCUUUGCUUGUUACUCAGCUGUUGGCACUUUACUCACACCAUCUAGUACUUCAGAUCACCUGUAGGAACUUAUUAUUCAACACUCUACUCACACCAUUUAUAUGGUCUUUUGGUCUCUCUGCCCUUGGUCUCUCUCUGCCUAUAAAUUGUGAUUUAUAGCUUGUGAUUUCAAUUAAACCUGUUGGACUAUAACCUGGUAUGGUGUGACUUCUGACUUGGAAAUAAGUUGCUGGGUCAGUGUCCUGGAAUUCCCUCCCUAAGGGCAUUCUGGGUCUAGCAACAGCACAUGGCCUGCAGCAGUUCAAGAAGGCAGCUCACUACCACCUUCUGAAGGGCUGUUGGGGGCUGACAAUAAAUGCUGGGCCAGUCAGCAAUGCCCAUGUCCCACAAAUGAAUAAAAACAAACAGCUUGCAGGGGCUCAAGAGGAAAGCCCAACAUUGCGUUUUCAAGGGUAACUGGGAAUCGGUAAUAAAUACUAUCCUAGCCAGCAACACUCACAAAUGAGAAACAAGUACAGAAGGACUUACUACCUUCAACAGGGAUUGGGGUCGCCAAUCAGGAAAUUGCACGCAGGAAUUCUGGAAUGGACCAUCUGAUUUGAUCCCUUUUUUGAGAAAUAAAUUCCCAGUUGCCCUUCUUGUAGGUGCAACUGAUCCUUUAUAUCAAAAUCUCACUUUUUUUUAAACAGGGUAAUUUUCCAAAUUUACACCAAUCAGCUUGUUGGUAAUUGUGGGCACAUUGUUUACUAAUUCUUGAUAUCUGCUGCCAACGAAACAGACUCCACAAAACACAAGCAUAAGUUCAUUCUGCCUUCCUUAUCAAAUAUCAAGAGGACAUUCACUUCUGUGCUGACAUGGAUAAACCAUAGACUUUCAAACUUGGUACAUUUUAAGAAGGAUGUUAACAGAGGAUGAAUGGUGAUAAUGAAAUUUAGACAGGAAGUUUCAAAGCUCGAGACUUUGGUGGCUGAAAGCACAACAGGCAUUGGUGAGGUGAGCAAAGUUGGAAAGGUACACAAAAGGAAUAAGAGUUCUGCGAUAUUGUAGAACUGAGAGAACUUACAGAGAUAGGGAGAGGCAACAUUGUGAAGCUCAAGGAAGUUUGAACCAGGGAAAUAGGGAUACAGCAGAUGCAACUGGUCUCAAUCUUGGUGACUGUCACAAACAUGUAAGUUUUGAUAUUAUAGGUUUUGUAAAAACCUGCAAACUCCUUAUAAAAUUGGCACAAAGAAGCUUUUUAAACAUGGCUACCAAAAGUCACUUCUCUUAUGGAUUCAACUGCGAUCAUCCAGUUGGUGGAACCAGACUGUGCUUAACUCAAAUAAGAUCAUAAAAGACAUUUGGGAUUCAGUGAGCCUCAGGCAACUCAAUUGAAUCCUCUAAAGAUUGAAAAAAGUCAUAUUUACUUUGAUAACGGCAAGGAGUUAGGAAGAUAGUUCAAAGGGAUUCCGGCUUGAUUGACUUCCUUGACUUUUCUUUGAAUCAAUGACUCAUUGGAAUAAUGUAGGAGCAGUUCUCAGUUUUGACUGUAUGAAAUCUGGCCAGCAAUCUUGAGGGGAGACCUCAGGAGAACCUGUGAAGUCAAUUCUAGGCCACAGCUCUCAGCUGAAGUAACUGUGAACAGCACAUGACAGUGAAGUUUUCUCUCUGACACCAGGAGUUACAGAAGAAGGAGCUGAGAAUUCAUUCCUAUAAAAGGAAUCCAGGCGUCACUCCGGCAGAACCAGUAAGGAAAAGGGAUUUUUUACUCUACCCACUGAGUCUGCCUACAAAAACAAACUUGGACUACUCAGCUACAAAAGCCAUCACAGCUGCUGAGCACGAUAUGUCAACCUCAAACCUUCUCUCCAGAAUAACAUGACUCAACAUCCCCAGCUGAAUAUAUUCAAAGGCUUCAGCCAAUGAAGGAGAAUUAAAGGUGAUGAAAAAUUAAGGUCUGUUCUGAAUCGUUCAGCACAGUGCCUUGUCUUGAUAAGGAGUGGAUGGUUGUCAUUCGAGCCAAUGCUGUCAUGGACAGACUCAUCUGCAAUAAUUACAUUGUAAUUGGCAGAUGGGACUUCAAUGGCAACGCUGUGCAGAGAGUUGAAGAAACAAACUGCCUGGAACCUGGUGAUAUUAUAAUAAGGAACAUAGUUAAUCAGAACCAACAUGGGAUCUGGGGAGUGAAGAGUGGGAUACUUCUUAUCCAUCCUCUUCUGGUACUGCAAUUCCGUUGAAGGACUGAUCACGAGAAGUAUUUUGGAAUGCUGGCAUACUCUCGUUGAAUUGAACUCCAGCCUUGGAGAGCCACCAGUUUUCAUCUGUAAGGUUUGCCUCUAAGUAUGACAUUGCAGUCGCUUCUGCUGGGUCUGAAACAGUGAUGUCGCUAUCUGCUGAUGGCGUCUGACAAGGAGAAUCCUCGCACUCCUCCUGGGUCAGCAAGCUUGGACAGAUCUCCCCAUCAUUGGCAGGGUGCUGUAUUAUGAACCGUGUCCUUUCUCGGAUGCCAAUCCCACAACUGUGGCUGCAGAGACCCCAGGGAGACCAGGCAGAGACUUCGCAGUCUAGAGGUGUACUAGCGAAUUCCUUUUCCUGGGAGUCUGAACAAUAACCAAAAUAAAAACAUUGUUAUUAUUUCAGUUCAACGUAAUUUUAUUCGGUCAUUACUGCUUAGUGCAUGAGUGAGCAUUUUGACUUCACUUCCCAAUAAAGUGCUAAUUUGUUGCCAAUGAAUGUUGAAGUAUUACCAUGCUAUACAGAAUCAUUACUCAAAUACCUAAUCCACAUAGCAUAGUUUAAUCUGGGUUGUUCAAUGCAUAAGACAAAUGUGCUCAAUUGGGAAUCCAGAUAAGCCACCUGGAUUUCUGUUUACCAAAUUUAAAAACAAGUAAUAGUCACUGCAGUCAAGUAUGUAAUCUCAGUAUUCAUUUGUAUAUUGUUUGCAUCUAAACUUUAACCUUUUUUGUAUAUGUGGAGAAAUUAAAAAUUCUGAUUUUUUUUUACUUGCUGUGAAUGCUUUCCAUCUUUGGUCACUGAAUGAUGACAGGUGCUCAUGUAAAGUUCACUUACUUGUAUUGUUUAAGUGUUUAAUUUUCUCCAAGAGUUUGUAAAGAAAUUAAAAAUGUUGCAUGAUGCUAAAACA